GACGAACGCUGGCGGCGUGCUUAACACAUGCAAGUCGAACGGAAAGGCCCUGCUUUUGUGGGGUGCUCGAGUGGCGAACGGGUGAGUAACACGUGAGUAACCUGCCCUUGACUUUGGGAUAACUUCAGGAAACUGGGGCUAAUACCGGAUAGGAGCUCCUGCUGCAUGGUGGUGGUUGGAAAGUUUCGGCGGUUGGGGAUGGACUCGCGGCUUAUCAGCUUGUUGGUGGGGUAGUGGCUUACCAAGGCUUUGACGGGUAGCCGGCCUGAGAGGGUGACCGGCCAUAUUGGGACUGAGAUACGGCACAGACUCCUACGGGAGGCAGCAGUGGGGAAUAUUGAACAAUGGGCGGAAGCCUGAUGCAGAAACGCCGCGUGCGGGAUGACGGCCUUCGGGUUGUAAACCGCUUUCGCCUGUGACGAAGCGUGAGUGACGGUAAUGGGUAAAGAAGCACAGGCUAACUACGUG
rnacentral:rRNA from 1 species